GGCAACAAAGGUAGGUUUUAUAUUAUCACAUAGACAAGAUAAACCCUACCUUUGUUGCACAGUAAGGCAACAUUGCUUCAUGGUAAGGCAAGGACAAGAAAUUAGACUUGCUGUGAAAUGUCUUUCUGAUCAGUGCAGGGGGCCUGACAUUCAAGCCUUACUCCUCCUCCAACUGGAGAAAACAGAGCCAUAGACCAAUUUUGUCCCUGCACCAGAUGAAGAGGAAACACAGAGCCUAGCUACCAGUACUCAAACACAGAUGAGUGGAGGUGGCCAAUGAGGGCAGCUAUGGUCUUUGUGAAUAUCUUGGAAGCUGAAGAGAGCUCAAAGGGCAGUGAUCUAUACAGAUGGAGCCAUAUGAGAAGCAGAAAAAUUUCCUGUGUGUCACCCUGCCAGGAUAAUAAUGCCCAGACAUACCUUUCCCACUUCCCUGUCUCCACUGACACUUCCCCAUCAGCACUCCAACACCACCACACUCUUC